ACUUGCCUGCAAACAACAAGACCAACCAAUCAGGUACUGCAGUCUUUAAAAUCAAGAGCCAAGGGUGGUCCCUGUGCUCUGAGUGAGGCCUGCCACCACCUCCAGGGGAGCCCCUCGGGCCAUAGUAAGCAUUAAUAAUGUUCAUCUUCGAGUGGCUCUACAAUGGCUUCAGCAGUGUGCUUCAGUUCCUAGGACUCUAUAAGAAAUCUGGAAAACUUGUAUUCUUGGGUUUGGACAAUGCAGGCAAAACCAUUCUUCUUCACAUGCUCAAAGAUGACAGAUUAGGCUAACAUGUUCCAACACUACAUCCCACCUCGGAAGAGCUGAUGAUUGCUGGAAUGACGUUUACCACUUUUGAUCUUGGUGGACAAGAGCAAUCAUAUCAGCUUUGGAAAAAUCAUCUCCCAGCGAUCAAUGGGAUUGUCUUUCUGGUGGAGUGUGCAGAUCACUCUUGCCUCAUGGAAUCCAAAGUUGAGCUUAAUGCUUGAAUGACUAAUGAAACAAUAUCCAAUGUUCCAAUCCUUAUCUUGGGAAACAAAAUUGGCAGGACAGAUGCAAUCAGUGAAGAAAAACUCUGUGAGAUAUUUGGGCUUUAUGGACAGACCACAGGCAAGGGGAAUGUGAUUCGGAAGGAGCUGAAUGCCUGCCCCAUGGGAGUGUUCAUGUGCUGAAGAGGCAAGGCUAGAGUGAGGGUUUCUGCUGGCUCUCCCAGUAUAUUAACUGAUGUUUGGACAGUGAAAAUAAAAGAGUUUUACUCUUCUGGACUGAUCCUAUUCAUGGCUUCCUCUUGAACUUUUCUAAUAGAACAAGGAAAGCUCUCCAACAAUGUCUGGCGUCGAAAAGUCAAGCAUCUGUCAACCCUCAUCACCCAGUGGUGACAUGUGCUCUUCUCCACACUCACUGUUGGGAGAUAAUGCUGCCCAUGUGCUGAUGCAGGUCAGUAUCCAGGGACUUGGAGGCUGGCAGGAUUUGCCAGGUAAAGCUGUUUGUGCCAU